AAAUCAGAAUAAGCAAGUACUUCCGCUUAAUCAGUACCCCAACAGCUUUGAAGCAUAGAGAACCAGCUGUAAUUGUCAGUGAAAACCUCAUGUUCUUGCAGCAGUUGGCAACAUCUUUUGCUUAAUUCCUGCACUGUCAACUCAGAUUGAUUUCCUUUUAAGUUAUAGCAUUUUGCCCCAUUUAUUUCUUUGGCAGACAAAGCCUAUUUCUUUGCUUUCUUUUUUAAGACAGUCUUUUUCAUUUAGGAAUGGAAAUAGGGCAGUGUAUUUACAUUGUUAAGUAAAAAACUGAGGUGUUAUUACAGAAGAUACAGAGCUGUGUGCCGAGGCUUUUUACAAGAGAUGAAACAUCUACAUUACCAAAGACUUGUCCUAGGAACUGUGCUAAGAGCUGACUCACCAACAGAAUUAAGCUUCUCAUAGACAAUGAAGGAAUCUUCUUUUGUUCUCCUGAAGCACAUAUUACAGAAAUGAACAAAAGUGGUGGUAAAAAAUACCAGCUGAAUGAAUGCAAGCCUCGUAUAUGCUUUUCCCCAUAAACAGGUCUGAGAUACACUCUUCUACUGGUAUUGGUGUAGCAUCCUUUCUUUCACAAAAAAUUUACCUAGAUGCAGAAACAAACCGCUAAAACAAGGAGCUAGCUGAGCUGGAGGUAGGGGGUGAUACGGGGAGGCAUCUCCACCCAUCCUGCUCCAUCGUCCACUGGGGCUGUGUGGGGGCACCAGAGGAUUCUCAGGUCUACAGAGCACAAUUUGGAACCUGCCGAUUAA